rnacentral:rRNA from 1 species
AUGAACGCUGACAGAAUGCUUAACACAUGCAAGUCUUUGGCGAAUCUGUGCUUGCACAGGCUAGCCAAGGCGGACGGGUGAGUAACGCGUAAAGAACUUGCCCUGCAGACAGGGAUAACAGACGGAAACGACUGAUAACACCUGAUACAGUUGCCGGCACGCAUGUGCCUGGCAAUGAAAAGAGAUGCUGCAGGAGAGCUUUGCGUCCUAUUAGCUUGUUGGUGAGGUGACGGCUCACCAAGGCGAUGAUAGGUAGCCGGCCUGAGAGGGUGAACGGCCACAAGGGGACUGAGAUACGGCCCUUACUCCUACGGGAGGCGGCAGUGGGGAAUAUUGGACAAUGGGGGCAACCCUGAUCCAGCAAUUCUGUGUGCACGAAGAAGGUUUUCGGAUUGUAAAGUGCUUUCAGCAGGGAAGAAGAAAGUGACGGUACCUGCAGAAGAAGCGACGGCUAAAUACGUG